GCAAUUGAUCAGGUUUAGCACAUCGCCAUACACUCUAUUAAAUAAUUCUUCCCUUGUGUUUGAUCCAUCAAGUUUUUCUACACAAUAUGGUUAUGGAA